AGAUAAUGAGCUGUGUGGUGAUCAGCCCAGGCCUCAGAAGAAGUAGAUAAGGGGCAACCUCAGAGCCCUUCACCCACUGGACGCCACUGAAGACAGGAUCUCUGGAACAGGCACUACACCCCAUUGUGAUGUCCAGACGCCAGCUGGGUUUCCAGGGGCAACGGGGCUGCCCCAGUUCUGAGCCCAGGGGACCCCAGGAGGCAGAUGUGCUCUGGGGCGUGAGAUCCGUUAAGUCUGCCUCAGGAAAGCUGCAUCCUCCACACUGAAACCACACCGGCAUUAGGACGCUCCACUCAGCCUCUGGAAACACCCACCACUGCCUUCUCCUGGAAAGCACCUGCUCUAGUCCCUGGAGACUCGUAUUAGGGCAGAAUCCAACAGAAGAAUUCCGUGGUCAGCAGAGAAAGCCCCAUCUCAGCAUCCAUGGAGCAGGUGCAUCUGAGCACAAGCCUGGUGGACCAGCCUACAAGCCUAAGACGAGGGCACAGGAAGCCUGGGUAUUGCCCACAAACACUCCAUCCAGUUCUUCCAUGGCCUGCCUUGAGGUCUACCAAGCAUUUAAAAGUCACCUUACCUGCCUGGGUGCAGCUGCAAGAAAAAAAAAGAAUGCUGUUCGUGGAGUCCCUGCUAUGGCACAACAGGUUCAAUGGUAUCAAUGCAGCACCAGGACACAGGUUCGAUUCCCAGCCCACACAGUGGGUCAUAUAUCUGGUGUCAUCAUAGCUGCAGCCUAAGUUACAUCUGUGGCUUGGAUCUGAUCCCUGGCCUAGGAACUCCAACAUAGUUCAUAGAGUGGCCCCCAAAACAAACAAAAAACAAACAAAAAGAAAAGAAAAAGAAUGCUGUUAGUUAUAGUUCAUGUGAGAACUCCAAAUGUUUCUUCUUUUUCAAAUUAAAAAAAAAAUUUCUUUAUUUUAGGUUCAUUACAUUUAAUUGUGAAUUUUAGAAGAAGUGGAUUAAUUUUGCCUGAAAAAGUCCUGCUGAGCUUUUGACUAGGAUUAUGUUCAGUCUCUAAAGUGAUUUGAAGAGAACUGACAUCUUGGCAGUACGACAGGCUUCCAACAUAUGAACAUUUAAUCUUUUCAUUUAUUUACGGCUUUUUCAAAUUCUCUCAGAAAUUUGGGGGGUGAAGAACACACCAUUAAGAAUGCUAUUUGCAUUGUAUCUCAGAGGGUUAACAACCCAGCUAGUAUCCAUGAGGCCACAGGUUCCAUCCCUGGCCUUGCUCUGGGUUAAGGAUCCUGUGUUGCUGUCACCUGUGGUGUAGGUCUCAGACCUGGCUCAGACCCUGCAUUGCUAUGGCUGUGGUGUAGGUCAGCAGCUGCAGUUCCCAUUUGACCCUAGUCUAGGAACUUCC
rnacentral:lncRNA from 1 species